rnacentral:lncRNA from 1 species
CUUUCACCCCUCCACGACCUCAGCACAUACAUACGUUCUGCCCCACCGGCCCUCAGCGAAGCAGUCCUCCAGCGCGCAGCUGCGAGUGAGUGAGCACGUGGUGCGCAGACCCUCUGGACGCAUGCGCACCGGCACCCAGUUCCUCCCUGGUGUGAGAGCCUCAGACUCUGCAGGGGGAAGGUGCGCUGUUCUGAGGCCCCUGGACAGGCAAGCCUCCUGGGUGGCAAACCAAGGAGAGGAGCUGGAAGUCCUUGGCAUUCACAGGUUUUGGCUGAUGUUUUGGAGGAGUAUGCAACCUUGAGGAAUCUUGGCUGUGUCAAUACAGGUAAGUGGAAGAGAAACCAUGUAAAAGAUCAUUAUUACAGAGCUCUCUGGGAGUUUGCUCACACACCUGAUUAAUUCUGGAUACUUUGUGAUAAUGGAGAGAGUUGCCGAAGUUAGCCAAACAUAAUGUGUAGGUGAAACUUUGUGUGAUAAAGCAACUGGAACAUCCAUCAAAAAAAGGCUGUAGUGGUAGGUUGGGAUUCAUCUUGGUUUGGAGGUAAGUCUGUGUGACUCCACAUUCUGUGCUCCUAACCUGAUAGAUCUUACCUUUCUUGAUGUGCAGGGGAUAAAUGUCAAAUAAUUUAUCUUAAACCAUCUGAGCUAAGUGAGCAGACCUCUGAAUAAAUUUUGAUUUUCCUUUAAUUUAACA